rnacentral:lncRNA from 1 species
GAAAGUAUAAGGAAGAGAAGAAAAAUUUAUGGAUCAUGUUGACUUCUAAAAAGUAUAUAUAAGGCUUUGAAACUUUAUAAAGGCUUUGACUUUUAUAAGUUUAUUUAACAUUUCAUACACUACUAGGUAUAUGGAGCAAGGUCUUUGCUUAAACGCAACCGAAAUUUAGUGUAAUUCUUGGUCACUUUGGCAACAGUUCUAUCUCGUAUGAUUCUACAAGAGAUUGAC